rnacentral:rRNA from 1 species
GACGAACGCUGGCGGCGUGCUUAACACAUGCAAGUCGAACGGAAAGGCCCUGCUUUUGUGGGGUGCUCGAGUGGCGAACGGGUGAGUAACACGUGAGUAACCUGCCCUUGACUUUGGGAUAACUUCAGGAAACUGGGGCUAAUACCGGAUAGGAGCUCCUGCUGCAUGGUGGAGGUUGGAAAGUUUCGGCGGUUGGGGAUGGACUCGCGGCUUAUCAGCUUGUUGGUGGGGUAGUGGCUUACCAAGGCUUUGACGGGUAGCCGGCCUGAGAGGGUGACCGGCCACAUUGGGACUGAGAUACGGCCCAGACUCCUACGGGAGGCAGCAGUGGGGAAUAUUGCACAAUGGGCGGAAGCCUGAUGCAGCAACGCCGCGUGCGGGAUGACGGCCUUCGGGUUGUAAACCGCUUUCGCCUGUGACGAAGCGUGAGUGGCGGUAAUGGGUAAAGAAGCACCGGCUAACUACGUG